UGUACCCUUAGCUCAGUUGGUUAGAGCUGACGGCUCAUAAUCGUCCGGUCAUAGGUUCGAGUCCUACAGGUUACAU
rnacentral:tRNA from 1 species